rnacentral:rRNA from 1 species
CUCGAAUCAGGUAGGAAUACCCGCUGAACUUAAGCAUAUCAAAUGGGAAAGGAAAAUCAUUACCGAGUUAUACA